rnacentral:rRNA from 1 species
AUGAACGCUGGCGGCGUGCUUAACACAUGCAAGUCGAACGGUGAACACGGAGCUUGCUCUGUGGGAUCAGUGGCGAACGGGUGAGUAACACGUGAGCAACCUGCCCCUGACUCUGGGAUAAGCGCUGGAAACGGCGUCUAAUACUGGAUACGAGUCGCGACCGCAUGGUCAGUGGCUGGAAAGAAUUUUGGUUGGGGAUGGGCUCGCGGCCUAUCAGCUUGUUGGUGAGGUAAUGGCUCACCAAGGCGUCGACGGGUAGCCGGCCUGAGAGGGUGACCGGCCACACUGGGACUGAGACACGGCCCAGACUCCUACGGGAGGCAGCAGUGGGGAAUAUUGCACAAUGGGCGCAAGCCUGAUGCAGCAACGCCGCGUGAGGGAUGACGGCCUUCGGGUUGUAAACCUCUUUUAGCAGGGAAGAAGCGAAAGUGACGGUACCUGCAGAAAAAGCGCCGGCUAACUACGUGCCAGCAGCCGCGGUAAUACGUAGGGCGCAAGCGUUAUCCGGAAUUAUUGGGCGUAAAGAGCUCGUAGGCGGUUUGUCGCGUCUGCUGUGAAAUCCCGAGGCUCAACCUCGGGCCUGCAGUGGGUACGGGCAGACUAGAGUGCGGUAGGGGAGAUUGGAAUUCCUGGUGUAGCGGUGGAAUGCGCAGAUAUCAGGAGGAACACCGAUGGCGAAGGCAGAUCUCUGGGCCGUAACUGACGCUGAGGAGCGAAAGGGUGGGGAGCAAACAGGCUUAGAUACCCUGGUAGUCCACCCCGUAAACGUUGGGAACUAGUUG